rnacentral:rRNA from 1 species
AACGAACGCUGGCGGCAGGCUUAACACAUGCAAGUCGAGCGCCCCGCAAGGGGAGCGGCAGACGGGUGAGUAACGCGUGGGAGUCUACCCAUCUCUACGGAAUAACGCAUGGAAACGUGUGCUAAUACCGUAUACGUCCUUCGGGAGAAAGAUUUAUCGGAGAUGGAUGAGCCCGCGUUGGAUUAGCUAGUUGGUGGGGUAAAGGCCUACCAAGGCGACGACCCAUAGCUGGUCUGAGAGGAUGAUCAGCCACACUGGGACUGAGACACGGCCCAGACUCCUACGGGAGGCAGCAGUGGGGAAUAUUGGACAAUGGGCGCAAGCCUGAUCCAGCCAUGCCGCGUGAGUGAUGAAGGCCCUAGGGUUGUAAAGCUCUUUCACCGGUGAAGAUAAUGACGGUAACCGGAGAAGAAGCCCCGGCUAACUUCGUGCCAGCAGCCGCAGUAAGAC